UUUAUAGAGUAGUUAGGAAAUAUUUUGUUUGUAAAGUUUGUAAGUGGAUAUUUAGAUUUUUUUGAGGUUUUCGUUGGAAACGGGAUUUUUUUAUAUUAUGUUAGAUAGAAGAAUUUUUAGUAAUUUUUUUGUGUUGUGUGUAUUUAAUUUAUAGAGUUGAAUGAUUUUUUAUAUAGAGUAGAUUUGUAAUAUUUUUUUUGUGGAAUAUGUAAGUGGAUAUUAGGGUAGUUUUGAGGAUUUUGUUGGAAACGGGAAUA
rnacentral:misc_RNA from 1 species